AAAUUGAAGAGUUUGAUCAUGGCUCAGAUUGAACGCUGGCGGCAGGCCUAACACAUGCAAGUCGAGCGGAAACGACACUAACAAUCCUUCGGGUGCGUUAAUGGGCGUCGAGCGGCGGACGGGUGAGUAAUGCCUAG
rnacentral:rRNA from 1 species